rnacentral:ncRNA from 1 species
GGUUUAUCACAAAUAAUAAUUAUUAUAGUAUCUGUUUUACAUUGUAAGGCAAUAAAUUAUAAAGUACGAUGAGAGAAAACUUGUCGGAACAAAGGGGAACCAUCCUCUAAGGCUAAGUAUAAUAAAUUUAGCGAUAGUGAAUAAGUACUGUGAAGGAAAAGUUUGAAAAGCGAGUAGUAAACAACAAAAAUGAUUUUAUCUUGGAAACAAUAUAAAUGAAUUGGUGAAAUAGAACAUGAAUUAGUAACUCUAUAAGCAGUCCGAAUUUUAAAAAUAGAAUGAGGGCGUACCUUUUGCAUAAUGGGUCAGCAACUUAAUAUUAGUAGCAAGGUUAAAAGCCUUAGCGAAAGCGACUAGAUAGUCAUAAAAACUAAAAAUUUUACACUAUGGUGGGUAAGUUACUAUUAUUAGACCCGAAGCCAGAAGUGAUUUUACUUAGACCAGAUUAUAAUGGAUCGAACGGGUGAAUGUUGCAUAAUUCUCCGAAGAGUUUAAGUAAGCGGUAUAACAUUUUGCCGCACUGGGAAGUAAUUUC